UCCUCCCCAGCACACCCUCCUCCUGCCAUGGAGCCCCGGCGUCCUCAUCAGGCCUAAGCUGCUUCUUCCAGAUGGGGCUCCCAGGCUGGGAGUCAGAGGCUGGAUCUUUGUUCUGCCUCAUCACUGGGUCCCACAUGUCCUUGGCAGGUCCUCACCAUUUUGGGGUGGGAAGGGGAUGAUCUCAAAGGGUCUUCUGCCCUCACACUCAAGGAUCCUGUUCUCUUAUUCCAGACAUGAAUCUGGGGCUGGGCCAAGCAGCAGCUAUUAGGAGUUCCUAGGUAACAAGGGGUUCUCCUAGAAUAAUCUGGAGACCAGGGGAGGUAUGGAACCCAAAGCCUCACUCAUCGCCAGCAUUGAACAGAGAGGCAACCCUCCCAAGGACAGAGAGCUGAGCCCAUUAUAAAGAUUCUGGUGUCCUGUGUCACAGUCCCAGCCAGCUUCAUGGUUGUGCAGCCUUUGCAGCUGCAGAGGGCCCUACACUCCAAAGGGCUAGAGCUUGAUUUAAUGCUCUGCUGUCAACACCUUGAAAUUCUUCAUGAUGUGUGAGCAAGGGCCCCACAUGUUCAUUUUGCACUGGGCUCUGCAAAGUAUGUAGCUGUCCCUGUUCCUAAUAAUAAUAAUACCUGUUACUGACAUACAGCUUGCUGUAUAGCCAGCACUGCAUAUUUUUCCUAUAUACUGUAUAAUUCACCUGUCCCUCACAGAAGCCCGGUGUAAAUUGCCUCUCUUAGAUUUGGCCAGCCCAGGUGAUAAUGUGAACUGGGUGCUAGGCACUUUAGAUAUGUGACUCUCUGGAGGCUUUCAGCAGUACCAGAAGCCAUUGUAAGCCAGGCACCAUGGCUCAUGCCUGUGAUCACAGCACUUUGGGAGGCUGAGGCAGGUGGAUCACCUGAGGUCAGGAAUUCAAGACCAGCCCUGGCCAACAUGGGGAAACCCUGUCUCUAUUAAAAAUACAAAAAUUAGCUGGGCGUGGUGGAUCACCUGAGGUCAGGA
rnacentral:lncRNA from 1 species